rnacentral:rRNA from 1 species
UGGGGAAUAUUGCACAAUGGGCGAAAGCCUGAUGCAGCGACGCCGCGUGAGGGAUGACGGCCUUCGGGUUGUAAACCUCUUUCAGCAGGGACGAAGCGCAAGUGACGGUACCUGCAGAUGAAGCACCGGCUAACUACGUGCCAGCAGCCGCGGUAAUACGUAGGGUGCAAGCGUUGUCCGGAAUUACUGGGCGUAAAGAGUUCGUAGGCGGUUUGUCGCGUCGUUUGUGAAAACCAGCAGCUCAACUGCUGGCUUGCAGGCGAUACGGGCAGACUUGAGUACUGCAGGGGAGACUGGAAUUCCUGGUGUAGCGGUGAAAUGCGCAGAUAUCAGGAGGAACACCGGUGGCGAAGGCGGGUCUCUGGGCAGUAACUGACGCUGAGGAACGAAAGCGUGGGUAGCGAACAGG